GUGAAGAUGCAGUGUACCCGCGGCUAGACGGAAAGACCCCGUGCACCUUUACUACAGCUUUGCACUGGACUUUGAAUCUAUUUGUGUAGGAUAGCUGGGAGGCUUUGAAGCGUGAUCGCUAGAUUGCGUGGAGCCAACCUUGAAAUACCAGCCUGAUAUGUUUGAAGUCCUAACCCAGGCCCGUUAUCCGGGUCGGGGACAGUGUGUGGUGGGUAGUUUGACUGGGGCGGUCGCCUCCUAAAGAGUAACGGAGGCGCGCGAAGGUAGGCUCAAGCUGGUCGGAAAUC
rnacentral:rRNA from 1 species